rnacentral:rRNA from 1 species
AGCGAACGCUGGCGGCAGGCCUAACACAUGCAAGUCGAACGAAGUCUUCGGACUUAGUGGCGGACGGGUGAGUAACACGUGGGAACGUGCCUUUAGGUUCGGAAUAACUCAGGGAAACUUGUGCUAAUACCGAAUGUGCCCUUCGGGGGAAAGAUUUAUCGCCUUUAGAGCGGCCCGCGUCUGAUUAGCUAGUUGGUGAGGUAAAGGCUCACCAAGGCGACGAUCAGUAGCUGGUCUGAGAGGAUGAUCAGCCGCAUUGGGACUGAGACACGGCCCAAACUCCUACGGGAGGCAGCAGUGGGGAAUCUUGCGCAAUGGGCGAAAGCCUGACGCAGCCAUGCCGCGUGAAUGAUGAAGGUCUUAGGAUUGUAAAAUUCUUUCACCGGGGACGAUAAUGACGGUACCCGGAGAAGAAGCCCCGGCUAACUUCGUGCCAGCAGCCGCUGUAAUAC